rnacentral:rRNA from 1 species
UUGAAUUUAGUUAAUUUUUAUUUUAGGAAUUUGUUUAUACAAAAAAUUAAAUUGAUUUGGCGGUUUUUUAAUCUUUUUAGAGGAACCUGUUAAUUAAUUCGAUAAUCCACGAUUUUAUUUACCUUAAUUUUCUUGUAUAUCUCUAUAGUUGAAUAUAUUUUGAGGUUAAUUUUCUUUUUUUUACUAAAUUAUAAUUUAGGUCAAGGUGCAGUUAUUUUAAGGUUUAAAUGGGUUACAAAAAUUUUGGUUUGUAGUCAAUUAAAUUGGUUUUAGUUUAAAAUUGGAUUUAAAAGUAAAUUUUUUUAUUAAAAAAGUUGAAUAAUGCUCUGAAUUAUGU